GACAGAGGGGGCAAGCGUUGCUCGGAAUUACUGGGCGUAAGGGCGCGUAGGCGGGAUGGCAAGUCGGUCGUGAAAUCCCUCGGCUCAACCGAGGAACGUCGAUCGAUACUGCUGUUCUUGAGGAUUGCAGAGGAGACUGGAAUUCCCGGUGUAGCGGUGAAAUGUGUAGAGAUCGGGAGGAACACCGGUGGCGAAGGCGGGUCUCUGGGCAAUUCCUGACGCUGAGGCGCGAAAGCGUGGGGAGCAAACAGG
rnacentral:rRNA from 1 species